rnacentral:rRNA from 1 species
UUUGAAAUCUGGCACCUUCGGUGUCCGAGUUGUAAUUUGAAGAAGGUAACUUUGGAGUUGGCUCUUGUCUAUGUUCCUUGGAACAGGACGUCACAGAGGGUGAGAAUCCCGUGCGAUGAGAUGUCCAACUCUAUGUAAAGUGCUUUCGAAGAGUCGAGUUGUUUGGGAAUGCAGCUCUAAGUGGGUGGUAAAUUCCAUCUAAAGCUAAAUAUUGGCGAGAGACCGAUAGCGAACAAGUACAGUGAUGGAAAGAUGAAAAGAACUUUGAAAAGAGAGUGAAAAAGUACGUGAAAUUGUUGAAAGGGAAGGGUUUGAGAUCAGACUUGGUAUUUUGUAUGUCUUGCUUUCGGGUGGGGCCUCUGCAGUUUACUGGGCCAGCAUCGGUUUGGACGGUAGGAUAAUGACAUUGGAAUGUGGCACUACUUCGGUGGUGUGUUAUAGACUUUGUUGAUACUGCCUGUCUAGACCGAGGACUGCGUCUUUGACUAGGAUGCUGGCAUAAUGAUCCUAAACCGCC